GGGCCUAUAGCUCAGUUGGAUAGAGCGCCGGUUUCCUAAACCGUAGGUCGCAGGUUCAAGUCCUGCUAGGCCCA
rnacentral:tRNA from 1 species